rnacentral:lncRNA from 1 species
CCAUGGGGAGCGGAGGUUGUUAUGAAUUCAGGUGUACCAUGGGGAGCGGAGGUUUGUUGUGAAUUCAGGUGUACCAUAGGGAGAGGAGGUUUGUUGUGAAUUCAGGUGUACCAUAGGGAGCGGAGGUUUGUUGUGAUUUCAGGUGUACCAUAGGGACCGGAGGUUUGUUGUGAUUUCAGGUGUACCAUAGGGAGCGGAGGUUUGUUGUGAUUUCAGGUGUACCAUAGGGAGCGGAGGUUUGUUGUGAUUUCAGGUGUACCAUAGGGAGCGGAGGUUUGUUGUGAAUUCAGGUGUACCAUGGGGAGCGGAGGUUGUUAUGAAUUCAGGUGUACCAUGGUGAGAGGAGAUUUGUUAUGAAUUCAGGUGUACCAUAGGGAGAGGAGGUUUGUUAUGAAUUCAGGUGUACCAUGGGGAGCGUAGGUUUGUUGUGAAUUCAGGUGUACCAUGGUGAGAGGAGGUUUGUUGUGAAUUCAGGUGUACCAUGGGGAGCGGAGGUUUGUUGUGAAUUCAGGUGUACCAUGGUGAGAGGAGGUUCGUUGUGAAUUCAGGUGUACCAUGGGGAGCGGAGGUUUGUUAUGAAUUCAGGUGUACCAUAGGGAGCGGAGGUUUGUUAUGAAUUCAGGUGUACCAUAGGGAGCGGAGGUUUGUUGUGAAUUCAGGUGUACCAUGGGGAGCGGAGGUUUGUUAUGAAUUACAAAGCUCUCACACAUCACUGUACCCUCUAUAUGAGAGUGGGCUGUCCUUCCUUAGCUCUUCGGAGACAUAGUCAUUGGUUACGUCUUCAUUGAUCAGGUCAUACUGAGACAGCUCCCUUUUUACCUGUGUACCUACAUUGUCCAGCAGACAAAUGACAACAAUUGGCUACGCUCACAGGACUGUAUCUUGUUGACUGUGCCCGUACAGAGUUUGGUAAAAAAAAGCAUUCCAGUUUUCUCGCCCUUCCACUUGGAACGAGCUACAAAAGGACAUUAAAUUGCAGGAGCUCGUGUCCUUGAAUUAGUUUAAGGCUAGGGUCAAAUCUAUGGUGGAC